rnacentral:rRNA from 1 species
GGGGAAUAUUGGACAAUGGGCGCAAGCCUGAUCCAGCCAUACCGCGUGGGUGAAGAAGGUCUUCGGGUUGUAAAGCCCUUUUGUUGGGAAAGAAAUCCAGCUGGCUAAUACCCGGUUGGGAUGACGGUACCCAAAGAAUAAGCACCGGCUAACUUCGUGCCAGCAGCCGCGGUAAUACGAAGGGUGCAAGCGUUACUCGGAAUUACUGGGCGUAAAGCGCACGUAGGCUGCUUUGUAAGUCAGGGGUGAAAUCCCACGGCUCAACCGUGGAACUGCCUUUGAUACUGGUUAGCUUGAAUCCGGGAGAGGGUGGCGGAAUUCCAGGUGUAGGAGUGAAAUCCGUAGAUAUCUGGAGGAACAUCAGUGGCGAAGGCGGCCACCUGGACCGGUAUUGACGCUGAGGUGCGAAAGCGUGGGGAGCAAACA